rnacentral:rRNA from 1 species
GGGGUGCACCAGGCGCGAAAACUUUGCAAUACACGAAAGUGUGACAGGGCUAUCCCGAGUGCCAUCCGCUGAGGAAGGCUUUUACCCAGUCUAGAACGCUGGGGGAAUAAGGAGAGGGCAAGUCUGGUGUCAGCCGCCGCGGUAAUACCAGCUCUCCGAGUGGUGUGGAUGUUUAUUGGGCCUAAAGCAUCCGUAGCUGGCUAAGUUAGUCCCUUGUUAAAUCCACCGAAUUAAUCGUUGGAUUGCGGGGGAUACUGCUUGGCUAGGGGACGAGAGAGGCAGACGGUAUUUCCGGGGUAGGGGUGAAAUCCUAUAAUCCCGGGAAGACCACCAGUGGCGAAGGCUGUCUGCUAGAACGCGCCCGACGGUGAGGGAUGAAAGCUGGGGGAGCGAACCGGAUUAGAUACCCGGGUAGUCCCAGCUGUAAACGAUGCAGGCUAGGUGUUUGGACGGCCACGUGCCGUUCUAGUGCCGCAGGGAAGCUGUUAAGCCUGCCGCCUGGGGAGUACGAUCGCAAGAUUGAAACUUAAAGGAAUUGGCGGGGGAGCAC